rnacentral:sRNA from 1 species
CUCAGGGUGAUAAGAGGGGCAGACCCCCACAGGCUGCUCUGACUGCUCCCUCUCCCGGGUAUGCAGCCAGCAGAAAACUGAGCUUCCGGUCACAGAGAAUGUGCAGACGAUUCCCCCGCCAUAUGUGGUCCGCACCAUCCUUGUCUACAGCCGUCCACCUUGCCAGCCCCAGUUCUCCUUGACGGAGCCCAUGAAGAAAAUGUUCCAGUGCCCAUAUUUCUUCUUUGACGUUGUUUACAUCCACAAUGGCACCGAGGAGAAGGAGGAGGAGAUGAGUUGGAAGGAUAUGUUUGCCUUCAUGGGCAGCCUGGAUACCAAGGGUACCAGCUACAAGUAUGAGGUGGCGCUGGCUGGCCCAGCCCUGGAGUUGCACAACUGCAUGGCGAAACUGUUGGCCCACCCCCUGCAGCGGCCUUGCCAGAG